AGUUUCACUACACGUUUAAAGAAUUCAUACAAGACUUCAGCAUCUUGUAUAUUCUUAUAUACUUUAUAUUCCAAAUCGAAAUUGAAUGUGAAGAUACUCGGUUUGUCCUUAAUUUUGUUGAAUAGAAGCUCCACAACAGGAGAUGAGAAGCCACAAAGACAGGGAACCCUGCCAGCAUAUAGUUUUAGUUUUAGGUGUAACGAAAGAGCCGAAAAACUUGUAUUCGAAGCUCGAGGAGAAAAUCCAUGCAAAAGAAGAG